GCAGGUUAGGUUAACUGGUGACUCUAAAUUGACCGUAGGUGUGAAUGUGAGUGUGAAUGGUUGUCUGUGUCUGUGUGUCAGCCCUGUGAUGACCAGGCGACUUGUCCAGGGUGUACCCCGCCUUUCGCCCGUAGUCAGCUGGGAUAGGCUCCAGCUUGCCUGCGACCCUGUAGAACAGGAUAAAGCGGCUAGAGAUAAUGAGAUGAGAUUUUCAUAACAAACUAGUUUCUUUGGCAGAUCAUUUAUCUACUGUAAGUUGUAGGACAGAGUGUGUUUCAAACUUCUAUCGCCUCUUCUUUCUAACUAAUUUUCUGAUUGGUCUGGGAGAUUCUCACUGUAAACAUAGCGUGCGUGCGGCGUGCCAUGAGUCCAUUUAGCCUACUUGAGAGAUGAGUCUACUCUUUGGAUGAGUCAGAGAACGGGCUCUGGAUGAGUUAAGAUGGAUAUCAGACAAUUCUUCUCACGAAGCAGAGACGGGGCAGGGAAACAGUGACAGAUGAGGAGGAGGGUGAGAGAGAAAAGGGUCAUGUCAUAGGAGCGUACCAAAUCAGGGAAGGAUACGUCAUGACUGAUAGAACCCAAUCCGGAAUGUGGAUGCCUGCAUCAUCGUUUCUGAAAGUCUCAGUUUCUGCCCCGUCCAGACUAAAACGCAACCCUGAAGUUUUCAAACUAAAACGAGACCAGCAACAUUUCCAAAAGUCUCCAUUUUAAGGGCUUGAAAACUCCAGAGUAGUAUGGACACCAGGCAUAAACAGAGCAAAAGUGAUGCAUUUUCAAACUAAAACGUAUUAUUAUAGCACACGUUGUCCAAUCAAAGCACAAGAAGAUAACAACCUUACUCAAGGAGCCAGCAAAGGCCACACUGGGACUUGAACUUAAGGUCUUCUAAUGAGUAGCCCAAAGCCUUAACCCACUGAGCCUCCUCCAGGAGGUUGUGGGAGGUGGAUUACAAGAUGUUGUAUUGAAUGUGCACACCUUUUCUACAUGCCUUAAAUUUUUCAGGUGUUGCCAGCAUGGCCAAUUUAGUUACCCCAUGCGUACACUCUUUCUCAUUGUGUUCUACCCCUGCCAUAUAUGGGCCAUUGACAUUACACUUUUUUCCUAUAUUGUUGCUAGAAAUAAUGGUCCUGUGGAAGCUGCCAUUACAAUCUCCAAAUUUGUGACGAUGACCUUUGGAAAAUGCAUCUGGAGAGCACUAGUUGAAUAAGCUGUACCCAGAAAGCAAAAGUAAAACCGGGUAAAGGAUUGGGAAGGGGAGCUUUGGAAACUUCUGUGGUGCUUGUUUGUAAAGACACCAAUUUAUCAUAUUUACUUUGAGGACUUCUUGUGAUAUUCAUUCAUCUAAUUAGUAGCUGCUUCAUCCUGGUAGGGUGGAUUCAGAGGCUAUCCUGGGAAUACUGGGAGGGAUACAGGAAUACUGUACCUGGACCGGAUGCCAGGACAUCAUUUGCACACGGUUUUGCAACUAAGGACAGCCAUAAAUCCACCUGGAUGUUUUUGGGAGGUUGGAGAAAACCAGAGAACCCAGAGAAAGCCCACACAGAUAUGAGGAGAACAUGUAAAAGCUCCACACAGGCAGUAAGCCGAGGUGAGGGUUGAACCAGGGACCCUGAAGCUGUGAGGUAUUAUGAUCACUGUGACAUCAUUCCUUUUAUAAAUGGCCCUUUUAUAAACGGCCCUUAAACUCUUAAAAUAUUCUGUGUGGAACAAAGAACUCCACUUCACCCUCAGGAACCCUCAGCUAUCCCCCAGGAGGCCUUUUGUUCUUUUGGGCAUUUCCAUGUUGUCCUUAGUUGACCUUUCUUGCUUUUCUUUUUUUUUAAAGUGAACUUCCAUGAAAAUCCAUGUGAACUUAUCCUGUAGGCACCAUCGUUUUC